rnacentral:rRNA from 1 species
GACGAGCGCUGGCGGCGUGCCUAAUACAUACAAGUCGAACGAAGCUGUUUUAACUGGUGCUUGCACCGACUUAAACAACUGAGUGGCGAACGGGUGAGUAACACGUGGGUAACCUGCCCCAAAGCGGGGGAUAACAUUUGGAAACAGAUGCUAAUACCGCAUAACCACAGAAACCACAUGGUUUCUGUGUCAAAGAUGGUUUUGGCUAUCACUUUGGGAUGGACCCGCGGCGUAUUAGCUAGUUGGUAAGGUAAUGGCUUACCAAGGCAAUGAUACGUAGCCGAACUGAGAGGUUGAUCGGCCACAUUGGGACUGAGACACGGCCCAAACUCCUACGGGAGGCAGCAGUAGGGAAUCUUCCACAAUGGACGAAAGUCUGAUGGAGCAACGCCGCGUGAGUGAAGAAGGUUUUCGGAUCGUAAAACUCUGUUGUCAGAGAAGAACGUGUGCGAGAGUAACUGUUCGUGCAGUGACGGUAUCUGGCCAGAAAGCCACGGCUAACUACGUGCCAGCCGCCGCGGUAA